rnacentral:rRNA from 1 species
GACGAACGCUGGCGGCGUGCUUAACGCAUGCAAGUCGAACGGAAAGGCCCUGCUUUUGUGGGGUGCUCGAGUGGCGAACGGGUGAGUAACACGUGAGUAACCUGCCCUUGACUUUGGGAUAACUUCAGGAAACUGGGGCUAAUACCGGAUAGGAGCUCCUGCUGCAUGGUGGGGGUUGGAAAGUUUCGGCGGUUGGGGAUGGACUCGCGGCUUAUCAGCUUGUUGGUGGGGUAGUGGCUUACCAAGGCUUUGACGGGUAGCCGGCCUGAGAGGGUGACCGGCCACAUUGGGACUGAGAUACGGCCCAGACUCCUACGGGAGGCAGCAGUGGGGAAUAUUGCACAAUGGGCGGAAGCCUGAUGCAGCAACGCCGCGUGCGGGAUGACGGCCUUCGGGUUGUAAACCGCUUUCGCCUGUGACGAAGCGUGAGUGACGGUGAUGGGUAAAGAAGCACCGGCUAACUACGUG